rnacentral:lncRNA from 1 species
AAAGUCCGUAAGUCAAGACUUCUUCCGGCGAGCUUCCGGUGAACUUCCGGCGGUCUUCCGAUAAACUCUCGGAAACCAUUCUGCGGACUCCCGGCAUGCUCCUAGACUUCACGAUUUGAUCUUGGCGAGUUCCGACGAGCUUCUUUGGCAAGCUUCUGGACUUCUCGGAUUUGUUCCCGUAAAACCUCCGACGACCAUCCGAACUUCCGUCGAACUCUCGAACUCCCA